AUGAAUGCUCACCACAUUUCCAAACAAAUUUUCACGGCCCACAGACCAGGAGAUUCCCAGCCCGAAAAGCGCCACGAGUUUUCAGCAUGGCUAGUGCCACGGAUUUUGAUUCUUGGCACAGAGAUGUACACAAGUGCCCAAGGUUUCCUUUCUUCUCCCUCCCUCACUACUCACAUAUCUCGUUGGACAACAAAUCCUGUUGACUCUUGCUCUUCAGCCGAACCUCAAGAAUCAGCUCCCUCCAGUUCAGACUCCCUGACCCUGUCAACUGCUGGUAUGUCUAUGUUACUAUAUAUGCCAGUAUAUGUUUAGUAUAUUAGUUCCCUGCCUUAAAACUUUUCUUGCUUUCAAGCCACAUUGUCACACUUAUCUUUCUAAAACACAUAUUGUCACUCCUUUGCUUACAAAGUUUGCUUACAAACAUCCCGAUUUUCUGCAAGAGAAAGUCCAAAUCCCUUAAUAUGGUGCACGCUGCUUUCCAGUUUCCAGAUGCUCACUUCCUGGCCUCAUGCCCCUGCCACUCCUUUCUUCUUUCCACUUUUCCACCAAAUCUCAUGAGCUCCAGCCACAACACUGCCUGUCUUUCUCUGAUUGCACCUCCAUGCUAUUCUCAUGCUAUUUCCUUGCCCAAAAACCUUUUUCCCUCCCUCUCAACUUGGUAAAAUCCUUGCAGACCCAGUUCUAAUGCGAGUUCCUGGAGUGCUUCCCCUUUAACCCCUUCAGGUUCGCUCUGGGCUCCCAGAGCAGUUUGCGCAAACCUCUACUCUUUCCUGCAUCGUAAUGUUUAGUUAAAUGUAUUUCCUCUCCUGAGCAUAAACUCUCAAGAGCAGGGACUGUGCAGAUUUAUAGUAAAUAUUCAAUUAAGUUUGAAUGAUUGAGUCUGUAUCACAACACAAAUUCCAAAGACAUGGGGAUUUUUUUUCCCCCCGUGUAUAUCUUUUUUUAUUAUUAUGUUGAAAGAUGGAUAGUUUGUGUUUAAGCAGUUCCUAAUAUUUCUCUUCUUACUUUCCCUAUUUUCUAAUUUCUCUACCCUUUCCUUUAGCUACUAAUCACUCUCCUCACCUCUCGCCAUGAUUCUCUGGCUUCCUGGUCAUUAAGAGAACACUUUUCUCUGGGAAAGCUUCCCAUGGUCUCCUUCAUAGAGGGAAUGUCAGGAAGACAAAGCUGGGCCCACCCCAAGAGGGGAAGGCAGUUCUGCAUCAACAGUCUGUCCAUCUGCA
ensembl:lncRNA